AGAGUUUGAUCCUGGCUCAGAUUGAACGCUGGCGGCAUGCCUUACACAUGCAAGUCGAACGGUAACAGGUCUUCGGAUGCUGACGAGUGGCGAACGGGUGAGUAAUACAUCGGAACGUGCCCGAUCGUGGGGGAUAACGCAGCGAAAGCUGUGCUAAUACCGCAUACGACCUACGGAUGAAAGCGGGGGAUCGCAAGACCUCGCGCGGACGGAGCGGCCGAUGGCAGAUUAGGUAGUUGGUGGGAUAAAAGCUUACCAAGCCGACGAUCUGUAGCUGGUCUGAGAGGACGACCAGCCACACUGGGACUGAGACACGGCCCAGACUCCUACGGGAGGCAGCAGUGGGGAAUUUUGGACAAUGGGCGCAAGCCUGAUCCAGCCAUGCCGCGUGCAGGAUGAAGGCCUUCGGGUUGUAAACUGCUUUUGUACGGAACGAAAAAGCUCUCUCUAAUACAGGGGGUGAAUGACGGUACCGUAAGAAUAAGCACCGGCUAACUACGUGCCAGCAGCCGCGGUAAUACGUAGGGUGCAAGCGUUAAUCGGAAUUACUGGGCGUAAAGCGUGCGCAGGCGGUUAUGUAAGACAGAGGUGAAAUCCCCGGGCUCAACCUGGGAACUGCCUUUGUGACUGCAUAGCUGGAGUGCGGCAGAGGGGGAUGGAAUUCCGCGUGUAGCAGUGAAAUGCGUAGAUAUGCGGAGGAACACCGAUGGCGAAGGCAAUCCCCUGGGCCUGCACUGACGCUCAUGCACGAAAGCGUGGGGAGCAAACAGGAUUAGAUACCCUGGUAGUCCACGCCCUAAACGAUGUCAACUGGUUGUUGGGUCUUCACUGACUCAGUAACGAAGCUAACGCGUGAAGUUGACCGCCUGGGGAGUACGGCCGCAAGGUUAAAACUCAAAGGAAUUGACGGGGACCCGCACAAGCGGUGGAUGAUGUGGUUUAAUUCGAUGCAACGCGAAAAACCUUACCCACCUUUGACAUGUACGGAAUCCUUUAGAGAUAGAGGAGUGCUCGAAAGAGAGCCGUAACACAGGUGCUGCAUGGCUGUCGUCAGCUCGUGUCGUGAGUUGUUGGGUUAAGUCCCGCAACGAGCGCAACCCUUGCCAUUAGUUGCUACGAAAGGGCACUCUAAUGGGACUGCCGGUGACAAACCGGAGGAAGGUGGGGAUGACGUCAAGUCCUCAUGGCCCUUAUAGGUGGGGCUACACACGUCAUACAAUGGCUGGUACAAAGGGUUGCCAACCCGCGAGGGGGAGCCAAUCCCACAAAGCCAGUCGUAGUCCGGAUCGCAGUCUGCAACUCGACUGCGUGAAGUCGGAAUCGCUAGUAAUCGUGGAUCAGAAUGUCACGGUGAAUACGUUCCCGGGUCUUGUACACACCGCCCGUCACACCAUGGGAGCGGGUUCUGCCAGAAGUAGGUAGCCUAACCGUAAGGAGGGCGCUUACCACGGCAGGGUUCGUGACUGGGGUGAAGUCGUAACAAGGUA
rnacentral:rRNA from 1 species